rnacentral:lncRNA from 10 species
CACUAUUUUUUGUAUUUUACCUGAGAUACAGGGGCACAAAAACCAGGUGUAUUUGUCUUCUGUGGUUUCUGUCACAAAUUAUCACAAAUUAUGUAGCUUAAAACAGAAACUUAUUCUCUCAGAGUUCUGGAGGCGCUAUCAGACUUUGCUGGUAAUAGGCAGGUUAAUCUAUUAUGCUGAGAAACUGUCUCUGGGGUCACAGCUUCCUGGCAUGGAGAACCUAACCCUUUCGAGGUUUUCUUCUAGUCCUAGGAGUCAUUUAAUUAUUCUCUUUUUCUGAUUAGUUUUUCCCAUCACAUUUUAAUAUUUAUGAAAUUGAGAAGCACCUUACUAUUGAUCGAAUGUUUAAAAUUUUGGUGAAUUGUUAUUUCCUCCCAUUUUUUGUUGUGUCUCACAAUUGAUGGUAUCUUCAAAUUGAGUAAAUCUAG